UUUUGAUCGUACGGCCAGAAAAUUUUGAGGUACGGUGUCAUAAUCUUUUGACCCUCUCCCAACGAGUCUCCGCUAAAUAUUAGGGUUUCUUCAUCUCCAGUUUCGCUGCGGCUGCGUCCUCACAGCUCAGUACUCCGAUGGUCUCGCUCUUUAGAUUUCAAAGUCUCUUCCUUGUGUUGGAUUGUGUUGUUUUUUUUUUUUUUUCUUCAUCUGGAAUGGGGGCGGGCUUCAGAGAAGAAACACUCAAACCCAAUGAGGGACAUCAAGGACCAGAAGCUCGUCCCUCAACAUCUCCAUCGGAUAAGGUGGAGAUAGUCUCACCAGAGCUACCAAGAUACCUUUUUUCCCCCUCGGUCUUGUUUCGUUCUACGUCGUUUCCCUUCUUGAAAUGUCAUCUUCUUGGUUCCCUUUUUUCUUUUUUUUUUUUCGUUUUUACAGAUCCUGGAACAACUCAGUGGCUAAACCACUGUUUUCUCUAAAGAGUUUCAAAGAAGGAAAGCUGUGAGUAUGUGGUUUUCUUCCUCUACUUUGUAAUGAGGUAGGACUUUUUGAGUUCUGUAGAGUGGUUAUAAGGAUUCUUUACCUUAUAGAACUGAAAAAGUAAAUGACUAUGGGAUGAUUUUUUUUUUUGCUUCUUGUUGAUGAUUUGAUUGGAAUUGUUGAAAAAUAAAAAUAGGUUGAAAUUUGGGGAGGAUGGUAUUAAUGUUCUGGUGAUUUUACUCCAAGUUAAAUAUUUGAUUGAUGAAAAAAAUUCUGCUUGAAUUUGAAGUAAAUUCUAUGGAAAUAACUUUUUGUAUUGGGGAACCAAAUUCCUCUUUUUCAUCUUUGAAUAUUUCACUUUAGGAACUGUCUUCUUAAAACCCUAAAAUUGAAAUUCGGGCCCCAAACUUCAACCUUUUUUAUUAAGUAAAAAACACAUGGAUAUCCCAUUUGGCUUAAAUGAACAAGCCAUCGUUACCAACAAAUAAAUCAUACGUGUGAAAACCGCUAUUCAUUAACAGAACAUUUGUUAUCAGUUUUCUGGGAGGAGAUUCCUUGGUACGAAUGUCUGUGGUGUUCUCAAAACAUUUUACCUGUGCUAGUAAGAACUAACAUAGGUUAGGUCAAUCACUAUGUUUUCUACAUCUAAGCAGCACCUCAAUUGGCCAAAACACCUCUAGCAUGGGGUGUUUGAUUGUUGUGUAUGGAGGCCUCCCCAGAUCAAACUGUUUUGGAUUAGGGUAGGUGGUGUUGGUGUUACAAUCAUUUUUUGUUCUACAAGUUGUCUUAAUACCAUGAUCAUUUUUGAGUGCAUAGAAUUGCUUAACAUGACAUUUAAGAGGUUCCUAGGUGGCAUUUCUAAUGGGUUCGCCCCCCUCCCCCCUGCCCUCUUGUGGCUUUCGUUCUAAUUACCAGAAGGUUGAUACUGGAGAGUGCCAUGCCAUCCCAUUUUGUUAAUUUACUCUUUUGAAGUAGACGUUUUCCUUUCGAGUCACAGCCCACAGACGUUUUCCUUUCGAGUCACCGCUUGGAGAUCUUUUCCUUUCAAGUUACCGCUGGGUGAUCUUUUCCACUUGAGUCACUGCUCAGAGACCUUUUCCUUUCAAGUCACUGCUCGGAGAUGUUCUCCUUUCAAGUCACAGCCUGGGGCUGUUUUCCUUUCGAGUUACAGCUCAGGGCCGUUUUCCUUUUGAGUCACAACCCAGAGCCCAGAGCUGCUUUGCCUUCAAGUCACUGCCUGGAGCUGUUUCUGUUUUGAGUCACUGCCCUGAGCUAUUUCCCUUUUGAGUCACUACCUGGAGCUUUUUCCCUUGCGAGUCACUUCCCGGAGCUGUCUCCCUUCUGAGUCACUGUCCAGCUCUGUUUCCCUUCUGAGUCACUGCCCAGCUCUGUUUCCCUUCUGAGUCACUGCCCACCUCUGUUUACCUGUCUGUGGUUGUUCCCCUUCAGAGUCACUCUCUGGAGAUGUUUCCCUUCUGAGUCACUGCCCAGAGAUGUUUCCCUUUGGAGUUAUAGCUCAGAGCUGUUUCCCUUCCUAGUCAUAGCCCAAAGAUGUUUGCCUUCCGAGUCACAACCCAGAGCUGUUGUCUUUUGAGUCACAGCCCAAAGCUGGUUUCCUUUCGAGUCACAGCCAGAGUUGGUUUCCUUUCGAGUCACAGCCAGAGCUGGUUUCCUUUCUACUUCUAUUUUACCCACCCAUUAUAAGCAUUUGUGCAACUUCAUUUAUGUUAACCAAAUUUUGGUCUACAAGUUUUAUAUUUUUCAUCUCUACAUGUAGUCUUAGAAUUUAACUUGUUGAGACCAGCUAAAUAGCAUUAGCAUGUGAGAUCACAGUUCUUUGAUAUUUUUGUAACUUUGUCGCAUCUAAACAUUGACUCCAUGGUGAAAGGAUUUUUUUUAAACACAUUUACAGUUCUAUUCAAAGGAUAAUAAUUGUUGAUGGUUGGAUUAUUUUUAUUUUAUUUUUUGCUGUGUCAUACAAUUUUCCUUGCCUCUUUCACAAAUGCAUUCUAGUGAAUAUUUCAAUGUUGGUGCGAAUGAACUCUACUUUAACUACAUGUCUAAUUAAUCAUGUAAAUAGACAAUACAUUGUUUCCAUCUUUUCACAAUAGUACUUGCAUGCGAGGUGACAUUUUUUAAGUUGAAGAGAGUGAUUGAAGGAUAUUUUGUUUUAGAUUGACAAUAUUUAAAUAUCUUACUCUGCUUUAGCUACAUGUCCAAUUAAUCAUGUAAUAAACAGUAUAUCAUUUCCAUCAUUUUACAAUAGUACUUGAAGGUGACAUGACAUUUUUUAAGUUGAAGAGAAUGCUUGAUGGAUAUUUUGUUUUAAAUUGACAAUAUUCAAAUAUCUUAUGAAACCACAAGUUUCAACUUUCAAUAUGCCUAUAAAUAUGAUAUUCAACAUCAUCCUUUUCUAUAUAUGCUACUAAUGAAGGAUCUUAGUUAAUUACAAUUUAAUGGUUUGAUUGUUUGUAGAAGACUAGACGAAUUGAUUAUUGUUUGGGAAAUUGCUAAUCACCAUAAAGUUAUCGAGGAUACUCUUGUGAUAUAUUUUGCCCAUCUAAAACAAGGUAAAACAUUCUCAUAUUUUUCCUUUUUCUCCUAGCAAGCUAGGUCUUAGCUUUAGCAAAUGAAAUAACAUAGAGAAGUUUUUGUUGAAAUUUUUGAUGUCAUAUCAACUGUAACCCUGCUCUAAUGUAUAUUUGGUCAACAUUGUUAUAUAAAAUAAUGGAUCUGGGUUGAUACACCAACAUUUGAAUUUAAUGUUUAUUCUUAGUUUAACUAAUGGUGAAAGUGGUGAUUUUGGGUUGCAUUCACCAAGAGUUUGCUAAGAAAACCUCCCAAUCUCACAUCUAGAGCAAAGACACUUCAAAUAAUCCUAAUUUUCUUUUAAUUCUUCAUUUAUAAAUUAAAAAACUAGGUCAAGGGAGGGUUGUUUGUGUUAUGUAUAGCAUUGUUUGCAAAAUUAGAGAAAAUAAAAUACACAAAAGGAGACGAGGAACAGAGAGGGAUAAAUCUUACUUAAGACUUAUGAAACUCCUACCUAGAAGAGAAAGUGAUGAAGUCUCACCAUUAAAAGUAUAACAAUACAAAAUCAGCAUUACAUCAAGGGAGGGCUAGUUGUGUUGUAAUAUUGUAUAUAGAAUUCAAGAAAAUUAAAUAAAGAAAAAGAAAGGGAGAAUAGGGAUAGAGAUGGAUGGAUCUCCCUAAGGCUUUCUAAGAAUCUCACUUAAAAGAGAGAGUAGUGGAGUCAAAGCUUUUUUAAGUUAUGAGCUUGCCUAUGCAGAUGCUAUGGAAUUUUAAAAUUUGCUUUUACCCACGAAGUUUGGUUCAAUAUGGAAAAGCUAGAAAUUCUGUUUUUUUUUUUUUUUGAUAAGUAUGCAGAAAAUAUUAUAAAUGGAAGAAAUGUUGAAACUCGCCAUCGUACAUCAAGAGUAUACAAAGGGAGCCCAGCGGAAAGAACAAGGAAAAAGAAGGGCAAGGAACAAACUACUUGGCUCCUAACCAACCUACAAAAUUGAUCAAAGGCAAGAAUUCCUUCUAAUGAAUCCUAACAUGGUCUAAUAAGGAAAGUGAAAGAGCAUAUUUAAGCGCUUGAUCCAGAGUUUCCACGUCUUCAAAAGACCUUUGAUUUCUUUCAUGCGAAAUGACCCAAAAAAGGCAUAAAGGGGCAGCUAGCCAAGCUUUGUUCCAUUUUUUCCCUACUUAUAUACCCCACUCCAGCUUAGCAACGUCAAUCUAACCAAAGAAUGCAUCAUCACCGCAACCCAAAUAACGAGAAAAUCAACUGUCACAGAUAACUAGUUGUAAUACAGUGUAGAAGCAAGUGGUUGAGGGACUCCUCCUCCCUUGUACACAGAAAGCUGGAAAUUCUUCUUCGUGGACCUUAUUUUGUACUAUAGGACUUUGUUCAAUAUAUAUAUCUCAAAUGAACUUGAAAUCUUAAUUUAUUUGAUCUUUCCUAUGACAUGCUUACAUGUAAUCGAUAUUUUUUAAGUAAUAUUCCAAUUCUAAUAUGUGUUUCUAUUUCUUAAAUUAAUCCACCAUUUGGAGCUACCUUGGUUUUAAUUGUUAAUCAUGUUGAUACUUGAAAUUGGUGAAAAAAUUAAAAUAUUUGAACAAAAAGAUACCAUUAGUUAAGGGAAGAACAAAAGGAGUUAAAGGUUACGGGUAGCCUAACUUGAACCCCAAGUGAAAUAGAAAUUGACAAGAGAUUACAGAAUUGGUAUUUCUUUAUUUUUCUAUUUCUCCUUAUUACGUGCGCUGUUGCCUUUGUACUUUGUAUUGUUACAAAAUCAUAUUGAGAAUGAGUUUAUAGACACUUUUAUCUCUACAUGAACACCAUCAUAUUAGAAACUUUCACAUAUGUUUGAUCUUUUCAUAUGCUAAGAAAUUCUAAGCCCUGUACAUUUGUUUGAUCUUGUCAUGUAGUUACAUCAGACCCAAAUGAUCAAUGUUGUAAAUUUCAUUGCAUAUAAUCCAAAAUAUUAGUUACAUGCUCGUAGGUUUGAUGUUCAGGUUUGAUCUAUAAUCAAUUAAUUUAUAUUACCUGUUUUGUUGUUGUAGGAUUAAUGUUCAAGUGUUGACAAUUUUGGGGUUUUGUAGGAUUAAUGUUCAAGGUUUGAUCUAUAUAUAUUUAUGUUUUUAAAUAUUUAAAUGUAUAUUAAAUAGGUUUUGAGCAUAAUAGAUAUCAAAUUGAAUUUGGCAACAGAUUUCAGCACCAUCUAUUUUCCAUUAAUGUUAAAUGUAUGAGUAAUUGUUGGUAGUUGGUCGGUAAUGACAAGGGGACAAUCCAGGGGAUGGGGAAGGCGAUGGUGGUUGAGAAAAGGUGCAGAAGAUUCGUCCGGCAAGCACUACAUGCACUGCAUUUGCAGCAUCUGAGGGAUGGAAGUCAUCCCAAAACGCAUACUAGUCAAGAAUUGCUGCAUAGCUUUGAGUGAGGCAAAACAUAUUGAGAUUAUUGUUUGAAGAAAUUGAUUUAUGUGUGAUAUUUGAUGAUAAUAUCAUGUGCACCAAUAAAAAAUAUGAAUUAGCGUUUUGGGAUUGUAAGAAGCAAAAUUUGAUCGCACUAUCUAUUGUGGAAGUCAAGUACAUUGCCACUAGAUUGUGUCGUGUACAAAUUGUUUAGAUGAAACAAAUUUUAAGUGA